rnacentral:rRNA from 1 species
UUUCGGGUCUCGUAAUUGGAAUGAGUACAAUUUAAAUCCCUUAACGAGGAACAAUUGGAGGGCAAGUCUGGUGCCAGCAGCCGCGGUAAUUCCAGCUCCAAUAGCGUAUAUUAAAGUUGUUGCAGUUAAAAAGCUCGUAGUUGAAUUUCGGGAUUUGCGCAUCGGUCGUGCCUCACGGGGUAUGAACUGGUGCAGUCAAUUUCUCACCUUCUGGAGAACCGCGAUGUCCUUAAUUGGAUGCCGCGGGGAACCAGGACCUUUACUUUGAAAAAAUUAGAGUGUUUAAAGCAGGCAUUUUUGCUUGAAUACAUUAGCAUGGAAUAAUAAAAUAGGACGGCAUGGUUCUAUUUUGUUGGUUUCUAGGACCACCGUAAUGAUUAAUAGGGAUAGUUGGGGGCAUUAGUAUUCAAUUGUCAGAGGUGAAAUUCUUGUAUUUAUUGAAGACUAACUACUGCGAAAGCAUUUGCCAAGGAUGUUUUCAUUAAUCAAGAACGAAAGUUAGGGGAUCGAAGACGAUCAGAUACCGUCGUAGUCUUAACCAUAAACUAUGCCGACUAGGAAUCAGACGAUGUUAAUUUUUUAAUGACUCGUUUGGCACCUUACGGGAAACCAAAGUGUUUGGGUUCCGGGGGGAGUAUGGUCGCAAGGCUGAAAUUUAAAGGAAUUGACGGAAGGGCACCACCAGGGGUGGAGCCUGCGGCUUAAUUUGACCCAACACGGGAAAACUUACCUGGUCCAGACAUAGUAAGGAUUGACAGAUUGAGAGCUCUUUCUUGAUUCUAUGGGUGGUGGUGCAUGGCCGUUCUUAGUUGGUGGAGUGAUUUGUCUGGUUAAUUCCGUUAACAAACGAGACCUUAACCUGCUAAAUAGUUAAACCUGACUUUUUGUCAGGUUGACAACUUCUUAGAGGGACUAUCGGUGUUUAACCGAUGGAAGUUUGAGGCAAUAACAGGUCUGUGAUGCCCUUAGAUGUUCUGGGCCGCACGCGCGCUACACUGAUAAAGUCAACAAGUAACUAACCUUUGCCGGAAGGCAUGGGUAAUCCUUUGAAACUUUAUCGUGCUGGGGAUAGAGCAUUGCAAUUAUCGCUCUUCAACGAGGAAUCCCUAGUAAGCGUUAGUCAUCAGCUUGCGUUGAUUACGUCCCUGCCCUUUGUACACACCGCCCGUCGCUACUACCGAUUGAAUGGCUUAGUGAGGUCUUCGGAUCGGCGGUUGAUGAGUAGCAAUAUUCGCCGGUUGCUGAGAAGUUGAUCAAACUUGG